UACAGGGGGGGCAAGCGUUGUUCGGAAUUACUGGGCGUAAAGGGCUCGUAGGCGGCCAACUAAGUCGGACGUGAAAUCCCUCAGCUUAACUGGGGAACUGCGUCCGAUACUGGAUGGCUUGGAUUUGGGAGAGGGAUGCGGAAUUCCAGGUGUAGCGGUGAAAUGCGUAGAUAUCUGGAGGAACACCGGUGGCGAAGGCGGCAUCCUGGACCAAUAUUGACGCUGAGGAGCGAAAGCCAGGGGAGCAAACGGG
rnacentral:rRNA from 1 species